UGGAGGGCAAGUCUGGUGCCAGCAGCCGCGGUAAUUCCAGCUCCAAUAGCGUAUAUUAAAGUUGUUGCGGUUAAAAAGCUCGUAGUCUGAGUUCUGUUCCGGACUGGCCGGGGAGGUCACCGCCCGGUGCUUGCCCGUCAGGUUCCGAACAGCUCCCGCCACUGCGAGCGGGAGCCAAGCCGGUUCUGCCGGGGUGCUCUUGACCGAGUGUCCCGCGCGGCCGGCCGGUUCACCUUGAACAAAUGAGAGUGCUCAAAGCAGGCUACUCUUGACACUAAAGCCCGAAUGUUAACUGCAUGGAAUGAUGGAAGAUGAUCUCGGUUCCAUUUUGCUGGCCCUUUUAGGAAUCCGAGUUAAUGAUAAACAGGGACUGUCGGGGGCAUCCGUACUACGACGCGAGAGGUGAAAUUCAGUGACCGUCGUAGGACGAACAACAGCGAAAGCAUUUGCCAAGAA
rnacentral:rRNA from 1 species